GAGUCCCACAAGACUCAUCAUCAGUCAUAGCACAGCCAAGCAGCCAUCCAAAUCUUUUUGGAACAAGUCGGCCAUAUCUUUUUGGAUCAAGAAGGCUUUGUGGUAAUGUUGUUGAAUGAGUUGGAUAAGAUGGAGCAAAAAACUUUUUGAAGGAGCUUGCUAUUGUUUGCACUAAUGAGGAUUUGUUUGUUUUGGCAGCGACACAAACACCAGGAGAAGCUGGAAAGAAGUGGUUUCAAGGAACUGCAGAUGAUGUGAGGCAAUUUACUUGGAUAUUUGAGGAUGCCAAGAAUAUAAACGUUGAUAAUGUAUUGACCUUGGCAAGGGAUCAUUUAUACCGAAUGGAUUAUAUGGUCCUUGUGCAGAAGAAAAAAUAUUCAUGCUGCUGAAAUUACCAGUAAAUCCUCAUGAUGCAACAAUAUUGUCUUCCUUUUCUUUUGAUUAAUAUUCAUCCCAAAGAAUAUUGUCUUCUAUUGUUUUUUCCUUUUCGUUUGGUAUCAUUUUUGGAUAUGUUUUAGUUUUGGGUUGACAGAGUCACGAGUGCCCUUCUACUUGAUUGCAUGUGUCUGCCUUUGUCAACUUUGAUGCGUUUUUUGGGUCUC